rnacentral:pre_miRNA from 1 species
AACAAAUUAACUUUUCAGUUUUUAGAUAUAAUGUUUAACUAUUCGUCUUAUUAAAAAAAUUUAUGAUUAAUAAUUUUAUUUUUAUUAGAUGAUAAAACAUGAAUAAUACUUUAUAUGUGACUAAUUUUUUAAAAAAUUUCUUAAAAUUUUUUUAAAUAAAACGGACGGUCAAAUGCUCAACACAAAAACC